rnacentral:rRNA from 1 species
UAGAGUUUGAUCCUGCGGACGAACGCUGGCGGCAUGCCUAAUACAUGCAAGUCGAGCGGACUUGAAGAGAAGCUUGCUUCUCGAUGUUAGCGGCGGACGGGUGAGUAACACGUAGGCAACCUGCCCUCAAGCUUGGGACAACUACCGGAAACGGUAGCUAAUACCGAAUAGUUGUUUUCUUCCCUGAAGRRAACUGGAAAGACGGAGCAAUCUGUCACUUGGGGAUGGGCCUGCGGCGCAUUAGCUAGUUGGUGGGGUAACGGCUCACCAAGGCGACGAUGCGUAGCCGACCUGAGAGGGUGAUCGGCCACACUGGGACUGAGACACGGCCCAGACUCCUACGGGAGGCAGCAGUAGGGAAUCUUCCGCAAUGGGCGAAAGCCUGACGGAGCAAUGCCGCGUGAGUGAUGAAGGUUUUCGGAUCGUAAAGCUCUGUUGCCAGGGAAGAACGCUUGGGAGAGUAACUGCUCUCAAGGUGACGGUACCUGAGAAGAAAGCCCCGGCUAACUACGUGCCAGCAGCCGCGGUAAUACGUAGGGGGCAAGCGUUGUCCGGAAUUAUUGGGCGUAAAGCGCGCGCAGGCGGUCAUUUAAGUCUGGUGUUUAAUCCCGGGGCUCAACCCCGGUCUAGGGUGACUUGAGUGCAGAAGAGGAGAGUGAUUGAAAAUGCGUAGAUAUGUGGAGGAACACCAGUGGCGAAGGCGACU